UACAGAGGGUGCGAGCGUUGUUCGGAAUUAUUGGGCGUAAAGGGCGCGUAGGCGGUGCGGUAAGUCACCUGUGAAAUCUCCUGGCUCAACUGGGAGCUUGCAGGCGAAACUGCCGUGCUGGAGUGUGGGAGAGGUGAGUGGAAUUCCCGGUGUAGCGGUGAAAUGCAUAGAUAUCGGGAGGAACACCUGUGGCGAAAGCGGCUCACUGGACCACAACUGACGCUGAGGCGCGAAAGCUAGGGGAGCAAACAGG
rnacentral:rRNA from 1 species